GAACAGCCCUAGUUGCCGGCGCCAGUGUGCCCCUCACCUGUCACUCUGCCUCCCGCACAGGUUGCCAGGCAGGAGGGAAGGAUCAUCUUGACAUCGGGGCUGCCGUAACACAGGUGAGGGCCCCAAAGAUGGCUCACCUCUGAGCCUCAUCUUUCCAAGGGAGCCUCAGCCUGGCCCUUGGGCCACCCCCUCUUGGGGUCUCACCGUGGAGCUGAUGGGAGUGGGGGCUGACCCGACACUGCUGUCCCAGCCUGGGUGGGCUGAGGAGAGGUUCUUGGCCCCUGAGCUGGGGGAGGGGAGCUGGGCCUGGAGAGGUUCUGGGUUCUGUGCUUGCCUCUCAGUGACCACACUUCUGUGCAGCUCCGGGCCCAGGUCAGGGCUGGGCGCUGCCCCUCGGUGGACCGCUCCCUCAAGGCCAACAGCAGGUCAAGGCCAUGCUCAAGCAUUUCACAUGCGUGUCACCCAUGCAGACAUCUUCAGGCGCUGCCAGUGCCAUUCCCAGAGGGAAAACCCACUCGACACACAGAGCAUUCCCAGAGCGGGCCUGGACACUCUCUGGGCCGGUACGUCGGGGUACAAGGCUGGACGUGCAGAGGGAGAAGGCCCGGUCCAAGGUUGGGCCAGGGGCCUGGCCAGGGGUCUGUGGCCAUGCCUCACACUGGUGCCCAGCCCCUGACCCAAAGCUGUGGCGCGUGCCCUGGGCACCAGGGUCCACCUUCUGGGGCAUCUGCGCGUGAAGAGCCAGAGUCAGGUGGUGGAGGCCUGAAGCGGGGAGAUGGCCCACCUGCCCACUCCAGGGGUCAGGGGUGGUGGGUCUCACGUGGUGGGCAGGAUCAUGACCCCUGAAGCUGGCGACCUGGGCCUGGGAUUGUCCAUCAGGAACAUCCGCCGAAAGGACAUUCCCAGUGCCGUCCACCAUGGGAAAAUAUUUUAUCAAAGAAAUUUGAGUUAAAAAAAAAAGCCUAAGCAUGAAC
rnacentral:lncRNA from 1 species